UCCUGGCUUAGGAUGAACGCUAGCGACAGGCUUAACACAUGCAAGUCGAGGGGCAGCACGGGAGUAGCAAUACAACUGGUGGCGACCGGCGCACGGGUGAGUAACGCGUAUGCAACCUACCUAUCAGAGGGGAAUAACCCGGCGAAAGUCGGACUAAUACCGCAUAAAACAGGGGCACCGCAUGGUGAUAUUUGUUAAAGAAAUUCGCUGAUAGAUGGGCAUGCGUUCCAUUAGGUAGUUGGUGAGGUAACGGCUCACCAAGCCGACGAUGGAUAGGGGAACUGAGAGGUUGGUCCCCCACACUGGUACUGAGACACGGACCAGACUCCUACGGGAGGCAGCAGUGAGGAAUAUUGGUCAAUGGGCGGGAGCCUGAACCAGCCAAGUCCGCGUGAAGGAAGAAGGAUCUAUGGUUCGUAAACUUCUUUUGCAGGGGAAUAAAGUGCAGGACGUGUCCUGUUUUGUAUGUACCCUGAGAAUAAGGAUCGGCUAACUCCGUGCCAGCCGCCGC
rnacentral:rRNA from 1 species